rnacentral:rRNA from 1 species
UACAGAGGUCCCGAGCGUUGUUCGGAUUCACUGGGCGUAAAGGGUGCGUAGGCGGCUUUGAAAGUCUGAUGUGAAAUCUCCGGGCCCAACCCGGAAACUGCAUUAGAAACUGCAGGGCUAGAGGCUUGGAGGGGGAACUGGAAUGCUCGGUGUAGCAGUGAAAUGCGUAGAGAUCGAGCGGAACACCAGUGGCGAAGGCGAGUUCCUGGACAAGUCCUGACGCUGAGGCACGAAAGCCGGGGGAGCAAAC